rnacentral:lncRNA from 1 species
GUGGUGGUUUAUAAAUAUUACCAUUAGAUUUCUCAUUUCAUUUACAAACCACUAAACAAAGUUCAACUCUUUUCUUUCCCCCUUGAUACUCACGGCCGAGAGGCAAGGCACACACACACCCACUUUUUGAGUUUGAUCAAGUAAUUCCAAGCAUAUACAAGUGUGAAGGAUCGCGUACAAGGAAGCCCGGUGCUUGCGGAUUGUCAAGGACCUCUCUACGACGCUUUUAUCCACUCGUUUUUCGACUAGUUUCUUCCCUAGCCUCGAGCUAGAGGUCGUUGCACAGCUUCGGAUAUUCGGAUUUCUUGGUAGAGAUACGCAUUCACUGAAAUUAACGGAUCUGGCACGGUAUGGAACGUUUUCCGCUGCAUUGGUCAUGAAGUCAUCAGGGUUUAGGGUUGUGUCUCUUACCAGGACAAGACACAAUCCCUAAAUCACGUUUAUGUUUUGUUAUAAGUUGUAAUGUUACUAAACAAGGUUAUGGCUGCAUGUUAAAAACAACGGUAUUGUAUGAUUCACACAAAUUAA